rnacentral:lncRNA from 1 species
UUGGAUGAGUACAUGCCCUAAAAUGGAGGGUGUCUAUUUUUUGCUUCAUGUGUGAUUAGGGACGAAUGUGCUUUGAAGGUGAGGCUAACAAUACUGCUAUCCACACCCACGACAUCGAAGUGGUACAAGAAUAUAUGGCUACAUGUGAUGUUGUGAGGAAAACAUUGGACAAGUUGGAAGCUGAAACCUAGUGGCUUUUCCCAAACUACUACUAUUUUAAAGUGAAAGCGUAUGCAUGAUAUGAACGAGCCAGAUCUGACAAAGAUGCCUCAAAGGAUUGCAAAGAUACAUGUGGAAGACACGAUAUGCUAUUUGCCUUCAUCACUCAUUUUAGUUUGUUUGCAUUUUGAGUGCAU